rnacentral:rRNA from 1 species
AGUUUGAUCCUGGCUCAGGACGAACGCUGGCGGCGUGCCUAAUACAUGCAAGUCGAGCGAAUCACUGGGAGAUUGCUCCCGGUGGUUAGCGGCGGACGGGUGAGUAACACGUGGGCAACCUGCCUGUAAGACUGGGAUAACUUCGGGAAACCGGAGCUAAUACCGGAUAACUUCUUCCCUCGCAUGAGGGAAGGUUGAAAGUCGGUUUCGGCUGACACUUACAGAUGGGCCCGCGGCGCAUUAGCUAGUUGGUGAGGUAACGGCUCACCAAGGCGACGAUGCGUAGCCGACCUGAGAGGGUGAUCGGCCACACUGGGACUGAGACACGGCCCAGACUCCUACGGGAGGCAGCAGUAGGGAAUCUUCCACAAUGGACGAAAGUCUGAUGGAGCAACGCCGCGUGGGCGAUGAAGGCCUUCGGGUCGUAAAGCUCUGUUGUCAGGGAAGAACAAGUAUCGGAGUAACUGCCGGUACCUUGACGGUACCUGACCAGAAAGCCACGGCUAACUACGUGCCAGCAGCCGCGGUAAUACGUAGGUGGCAAGCGUUGUCCGGAAUUAUUGGGCGUAAAGCGCGCGCAGGCGGUCCUUUAAGUCUGAUGUGAAAGCCCACGGCUCAACCGUGGAGGGUCAUUGGAAACUGGGGGACUUGAGUGCAGAAGAGGAAAGCGGAAUUCCACGUGUAGCGGUGAAAAUGCGUA